UCCGACUUAACGUCGGCAGUCUCGUUAGAGUGCCCGGCCGAACCGCUGGCAUCUAACGACAAGGGUUGCGCUCGUUGCGGGACUUAACCCAACAUCUCACGACACGAGCUGACGACAGCCAUGCAGCACCUGUGUACACUGGUAUUGCUACCUCGUUGCCCUUUCAGGCUCCUACUAUAUACAUGUCAAGGCCAGGUAAGGUUCUUCGCGUUGCUUCGAAUUAAACCACAUGCUCCACCGUUUGUGCGGGCCCCCGUCAAUUCCUUUGAGUUUCAGCCUUGCGGCCGUACUCCCCAGGCGGGGCACUUACUGCGUUAGCGACGGCACCGGGAGGGUCGCUCCCCCCGACGCCUAGUGCCCAUCGUUUACGGCGUGGACUAC
rnacentral:misc_RNA from 1 species